AAAACAAACAAGUAAACGUUAAUCAACACCAAUAGAAUUAUAAUGAAACCGACCAUUACUCAUCCAAGAAAUAUAUAAUUCCACACUAAAAAAUAAAAAAAAUGCUCCUCCUUAAAUACCUUCCCUGCAAAAAUCACCAUCUUUCUACUUCCAGUUUAAUAUAUAUCGAAAAGACCCAUUGCUUAAUAUGGGCGGACGGGAAAUCCAAUUCAAUUCCCCAAAUAUUGGGGAUUAGGAAGCAAAAGGGUUAAAUCCAUAUUACAAAACACAGCCAAGGAGGCAGCCGUUGGAGGGGAAGGAUGCGCGUCGUGGGAAGAUAGCCCAGAUAAAAGGAUUAGCCCGUUGCAUAGGUACAAAUAUACAAAGCGAAGGGAUUUACUCCUACAGACGCGUUCCGACAUUUUCUAUAUUGAAGACUACGAAGGGCAAUCGCGUCCUUUAAAGAUGAGGAUAAGAUAAGACCCCUUUAUUGCCUGUUAAAUAAUGGUGUGCUGUCAUAAACAAACUUACAAUGCUCAUGCAAUAAGAGGACUACCGUCUUCACUUUCAUGAGGGAAUUAAAAAAUUCUAUUGGUUUUGCUUUAAAUUGAUUCAGCCUGGUUCCCGCUUGAUGUCCCGAUAACUUGAACAUUCUGGUUCGUGCUGGUCAAGCUGCCCAUCUGCUCAGUGGGGGUUCUGGAGUCACUAAGAUCGGGCAUUUUGCUUGCCAUACAGAUCAAUCCACCAGCGACCCAAAACGUAUCCCCUACGGAGCAGGGAUUAUGACGUCACGGAGUCAAGAGUCCUUGUUUAUAGUAACUGACUUUCUUUUCAAAACAAGCCGGUGUUCAGUUCAGUCUUCAGUGAUGUUCAGUGCGUAGCAGCUCUCACGUAUUCCGGUUACCUGUAUGUUAAACUGUAGUUUGUACAGUGUUCGGUUGUUAUCGUUAUCUACCGUAAUCAAAAUGCCUCGUUAUUGUGCUGUAGACGGGUGUACUUCCAAACAAGGUAACAAGACGGAAGGCGUGACUUUUCAUAGCUUUCCCAAGCACAUGGAAACAAGAAAGAAGUGGCUACGUUUGUGUGGCAAGAGGGACCGCUUCAACCAUGAGAGGGCAAUCAUGUGUAGCCUGCAUUUUGAAGGAGCUGCAUUUGAAAGGAACCUGAAGUAUGAAUUGCUCGGAAUACCAUUGCCAAAGAACCUGCGAAGAAUAAAGAGAGAUGCAUUGCCAACGUUGUUAUUACCGGUCUCCCAAGAUCAAUGCCAAUCGAAUUACAGAGACGAGAGACUGAUGGAACACGAACAGAGACAUCUCGGAGAAAUCCUCGGAAAUCACGAGACAGAGGCGUCAUCUUCCCGCGAAGAGAACGACUUCCAACGCCAAUUGGAAAGCUUCAGGGUAGAGUUAAAUGACACAAAAUUGAAAUGGAUAUUAGAUAAAAUUAAAUGGGCAGAGGAGAAGGUAAGGUGGGAGCAAGAAAGGUCAACAUUUGAGAGGGAAAAGGUAGAGUGGGAAAUUGAGAGGGCAACGUGGGCAAGAGAAAAGGCGAAGCUGGAGAGUGAAAAAUCAAUGUUUUGGCAAGAACGGCUACUGUGGCAAGAACGGGUACUGUGGGCACAAAGAAGAGAAAAGUGAUUUAAAUGAACAUUUCUUUUUUUCUUUCCAAAAUAUAUGUCUUUUUAUUCCUGUUACUUUGUAAGAACAAUAAAUUUUUUUAUAUCCUUUUAUGUCCAAUAUCUGGGGACAUCCGAGUUACCAGAUUUUUUAUUCAUUCCAUAUUUCUAUGGAAAUGUCAAUAUUAUAUACCCGUCAAUAAAAGAAAAUGAGCAUAA